rnacentral:rRNA from 1 species
AUGCGCGACAUCAUGGGAAGACGGGACCGACCCUUUGGAGGAAAAACUGUUGUGUUUGGCGGGGACUUCAGGCAGGUGCUUCCAGUCGUCAGGAGGGGGUCCCGGGGUAAGAUAAUAGAUGCAACCCUCCGAAGUUCACAUCUCUGGAAGGGUAUGCGCCAGCUAAAGCUCAUCACCAACAUGAGGGCUCAUAAUGACACUUGGUUUGCGGAUUACUUGCUAAGGGUAGGCAAUGGCACCGAGGAAGUUGAUGAUCAAGGAAACAUACGACUCCCUGAAGAUAUUUGUGUGCCGUCUACAGGCGAGGGUGACGACCUGGAGAAGCUGAUUGACCAUGUGUUUUCGAGACUAGAUGAUAACAUGUCCGAUCCGAAUUACAUGACUUCAUGCGCAAUCCUCUCCACCACGAACGACAGCAUCGACAAGAUAAACAUACGCAUGGUAGAGCGUUUUCGGGGAGAAGAAGUAAUCUACCAUAGCUUUGACAGUGCAGAAGACGACCCAUAUGGCUACUACGCUCCCGAGUUCCUAAAUGGAUUGACUCCCAACGGUCUGCCUCCGCAUGCACUCAAACUGAAGCUCAACUGCCCUGUCAUACUUCUGAGGAACAUUGAUCCGGCUAAUGGUCUGUGUAACGGGACGAGGCUUGUGGUGCGAGGUUUCGAGAGGAACGCCAUCGACGCAGAAAUCGUGAUCGGACAACACGCAGGUAGGAGGGUAUUCCUUCCUCGAAUACCCCUAUGCCCGUUUGACAACGACAUGUUUCCAUUCAAGUUCAAGAGGAAGCAAUUUCCUGUAAGGCAUAGCUUUGCUAUGACAAUUAAUAAGGCUCAAGGGCAGACCAUUCCGAUUGUUGGCGUGUACCUACCUAAUCCGGUGUUCUCUCAUGGUCAACUCUAUGUCGCGUUGUCUCGAGCCACCGCGAAGAGGAACAUAAAGAUCCUCAUUGAGAAGGAGGAGGAGAAAGAUAAUGGCAAGAAGCAAAGCAGUAAAACAAAGAAGCGAAAAAGACCUGCCUUGUCCUUACAGACCUCAAUGAAGAACAUCGUCUAUAAGGAAGUCCUUAUAGGCUGGAGUCCGCACUUAAGAAGCUGGCGGGUUUUGAAUAAGACAAAGGAUUUACUCUUCGCGGUGUUUAUGAUGCGGCCCCAAAGCAGGCACAGUCAAUGUUAUUUAUUUUUGUCUUGUAUAGUCUCUUAUUUCCCCCUUAUUUGA